rnacentral:rRNA from 1 species
UACGUAGGGGGGCAAGCGUUGUCCGGAAUUAUUGGGCGUAAAGAGCGUGUAGGCGGUCCGGUAAGUCAGCUGUGAAAGUCAAGGGCUCAACCCCUUGAAAGCCGGUUGAUACUGUCGGGCUAGAGUCCGGAAGAGGCGAGUGGAAUUCCCGGUGUAGCGGUGAAAUGCGCAGAUAUCGGGAGGAACACCAAUGGCGAAGGCAGCUCGCUGGGACGGUACUGACGCUGAGACGCGAAAGCGUGGGGAGCAAACAGGG